AGCUGGCUGGAGACGUUCCUGAAAGCCCCGAUUCUGCAGCCGGUGGAAGCAGCAGUGACACAGAAUUGCUAAGUCAGACGCCAGGCUGCUGGGUCCACAGGACCAAAACCGCUGGGCCAGGCAGGGUCACGUUUUCCGUUUUCUACAAGUUCACUACAAACCUUCCAGGGCUGCACAGUCAGUGUGGAGGAGAAGUCAAAGUUCACUCCCCGGGGAGGUGUGGCAGCAUUGCCCUGUGGUCAGCCCCGCCCUGGAGGCGACAGGUGCUGGAGUGGCAUGGAGUAUUCCAGAAACACAUCGUCUGGUGUCCUCAGCAAAACAGCUGAGAAGAGCAGACGUGGGCUGUGCCCUCACAUGGGGCAGGAGCAGAACACAACAGGGCCAUGAGCUCAGCGGUGCCAGGAGGCGCAGCCAGUGUGAGUAGGGCACGUGGGCUCCGCCGGACUGCAGUAGAGGUGGGGGUGUGAAGAGGUCAGGUGAGACAAUAAGGUGGGGCCUGAGGGGUCUCAAGGGUGGAUGGAGAAGCGCCCCAAGCACUCAUCCUGGGUCUCUUAUGUCCCAGCCACGGCCAGCAGCCAUCCCCGAACCCUCCCUGCUGUGCCCAAAGGGCAGAGCCAGUGCCCGGGGCCCUCACCCGCUGGGAAGACCAGAGACCACAGGGCUGGAAGGCGGACGCAGGCUUCCCCUAUGAGCACUCGGAAGGGGUGAAACCUGGGGGCCAUGUUUUCUCCUGUGAGGAGGGAGCCCCUCUGCAGCGACAGGAAGACCAGCGGGCACCGUGGGAGGAACAAAGGCGGCAGGUGGGCCGGCCUCGCCGGCACUGGGUCCCUGGCUCAGCUACUUCCAGGCCGGCCACACCUGGCCCUUCCCACAGCACAGCCGGUCAGCCCUUCCCAGCUCACAGGAGACACUCCCAACCAUCCUUCCAUAAAAUCGACAUCGUGCUUAGGCUGGUUCAAGUUGCAUUUCCACUGUUUGCACAUCACAGACGGAACUAUUUUAAAAAUGAAAAACAUGUUAGCCUUCAAGCUAAAUUUGGAAGAAGAAAAAAGAAAAAUGCCCCCUCCCUGUGCCCCCUCCGUGGGAAAAUGCUGAAAUAGAUAUUAUGUGAAUUACUGAGGCUGGUUUAACUUCCAGCAACAGAAAAUCCAUCUGGAGGUGGCACCAGGGAGCUGCUCUGUAUCACAGGACAGGAGGCUCGUGGGUGGGCCCACAGUGCCCAGACGCUGAGAGGAGACUUGGAGUCUGCGUUCCUGUUUGCGAACCCCCAGCAGACGCCCUCACAUCUCACUGCUGGAGUCUCCUCGUGGGCCACACCUACAUGGUCACAGGCAGGAGUUGGCAGGAGCACAGGCAUGGCUCAGAGCAGCAGUUUUCACAGUGGGGCCCAUGGGCCCCCACAGGUCUCUGAGACCCUUUCAUGGUCCUAUUGGAUUAGAGCCCACCCUACGGACCUCCUCCUAACCUGAUUACAUCUGCAAAGACCAAAGUAUUUCCAACUAAGGUCACAGUCACAGCUUCCAGAGGGUGUGAUUUCAAUAAAUCUUUUUAGGGACUCCAUUCAACCCAGACAACCAAAACUUCAUACGUGGUGAACCUUUGUCUCCUGUUUUCUCACGACUGCAGACAAGCCUAAACAAGAUGACUUUUUUUUUUUUGAGACGGAGUCUCGCUCUCUCACCCCAGCUGGAGUGCAGUGGCACGAUCUUGGCUCACUGCAAGCUCCGCCUCCCUGUUUCACGCCAUUCUUCUGACUCCCAAAUAGCUGGGACUACAGGCGCCUGCCACCACGCCCGGCUAAUUUUUUUGUAUUUUUAGUAGAGACGGGGUUUCACCGUGUUAGCCAGGAUAGUCUCGAUCUCCUGAACUCGUGAUCCACCCGCCUUGGCCUCCCAAAGUGCUGGGAUUACAGGCUUGAGCCACCGCGCCCGGCCUUUUUUUUUUUUUUUUUAAGAUAGCAUCUCACUCUGUUGCCCAGGCCGGAGUCCAGUGGUGUGACAGCGGCUCACUACAACCUCUGCCUCCUGGGUUCAAGCAAUUCUCCUGCCUCAGCCUCCUGAGUAGCUGGGACUACAGGCUAGCGCCACCGUGCUCAGCUAAUUUUUGUAUUUUUAGUAGAGAUGGGGUUUUGCUACGUUAACCAGGCUGGUCUCGAACUCCUGACCUCAAGUGAUCCACCCACCUUGGCUUCCCAAAGUGCUGGGAUUACAAGCAUGAGCCACCACGCCCGGCCUCACCUCCACCUUCUGAUGACAUUUUACUCGUGGAGAAGCAUCAGUAAAUGUUCCUUUCAUUCCUUCUGCCCACAGAGGCCUAGUCUCCAGAGCAGCCCCAGAUCAUGGGUGGGUGGAUGUUCAAGGAGAUUUCAGCGUGGCCACAGGGAGGAAUGUUCCGAUGAUCCGAGAUGGACAGGUCUGGAAGCCUGGCUCUGAGUUGGGCAGAAGGUAGGCUAGUGCUGUCCAGACACCUCCACCCUCUGCCUGGACUUUACACAUGUACUGAAACUGGGGAGGAGGAAGAGGUAUCCCACCACAGGACUGUCCCUCAGGAAACUGGGGGCCCUGGUGGGAGGAAACCUGCUUUGGCUGUAGAAAUAAACACCUCUGUUUGGUGAAAGCAAUGUUUGGGGCAAGAAGAUGGACACCAUAUCUGAACACAGCCCUCUUCUGACGUGGUUAUUUUACCUGGCCCUCCAGGUGGGAGUGGCCAUGUUCCAGCUCAGCCAAGGCCAGCUUGGAGGUGACAACUAGGAGGUGGUGAGGACCUUCUGUGGGGCAGGAGAAGAGCAGACAAGGGCUCCCCCAUCACCUGUCCUCUGUAGGAAGUGGUCUGGCCACCCCUCUCCAUGCCCCACCGUGAACACUGCUGGACUGCUGGGUGUGACCCCGAGGGUGGGCUGGGGGCCUCCUGACCCCUAUUGUACAGUGAGUCUGGAUGUGUAGGUGGGGAGCGAGCAAAAGAAGGUACCCUUUCCUCACUAGGUAAUAGCCAUGUGACCCACAGCUGAUUGGAACAUGGAGACUGAGGGUUAGGGAUGGGAAGGAAACUCCCCUGAAUUCUUUUUGGCAGAGUGGUGGGGCUGGGGACUAAAUGCCAUCUUUCUCAUAGUUUUCUAGCGUCCACCUUCCAUCCUCUUUUCUUCCUCUGACCUUCCUUCUAAAAAAAAACAGUGCUGCAAUCCCAGCA
rnacentral:lncRNA from 10 species